GGUGUUUCAAAUAACAAGUUUUUUUUUGUGACAAGGUACUGUCCACUCUUAUUAAUCCUGUGAUUUUUUUCCUUUCCUGUGAAAAUGGUUUAUAAAGUUAGCAAUUUUGUCUGUAUGUGAUGUUUUGUAGGGUGUGCAAACGGUUGGUUCGGUUUCGAACCAAACAGAACCGAUAAAACCGAAAACCAAAAAUAAAAAAAUUUUAAAAACUGAACCAA
rnacentral:misc_RNA from 1 species